rnacentral:rRNA from 1 species
GGAUUAGGCGUGCAAGUCGAACGGGAAAGCCCCCUUCGGGGGGUGAGUAUAGUGGCGAACGGGUGAGUAACGCGUGGGAAACCUGCCCUUCAGUGGGGGAUAACAGGCCUAACGGCCUGCUAAUACCGCAUGUGUCCCCGGGAUCGCAUGGUCCCGGGAAGAAAAGUGGCCUCUCCUUGGAAGCUACUGCUGAAGGAUGGUCCCGCGUCCCAUUAGCUUGUUGGCGGGGUAAUGGCCCACCAAGGCUCCGAUGGGUAGCCGGCCUGAGAGGGUGCCCGGCCACACUGGGACUGAGAUACGGCCCAGACUCCUACGGGAGGCAGCAGUCGAGAAGCUUCGGCAAUGGGCGAAAGCCUGACCGAGCGACGCCGCGUGAGCGAAGAAGGCCCUAUGGGUUGUAAAGCUCUGUCAGAUUGGGAAGAAAACUUCACGGUUAAUACCCGCGAAGCUUGACGGUACCGUCAGAGGAAGCACCGGCUAACUCCGUGCCAGCAGCCGCGGUAAUACGGAGGGUGCAAGCGUUGUUCGGAUUCACUGGGUAUAAAGGGUGUGCAGGCGGCCUGAUAAGUCAGGGGUGAAAUAUGACGGCUCAACCGUCAAACUGCCCCUGAAACUGUCAGGCUUGAGUCCGGGAGGGGAAGGUGGAAUUCCUGGUGUAGCGGUGAAAUGCGUAAAUAUCAGGAGGAACACCAGUGGCGAAGGCGGCCUUCUGGCCCGGAACUGACGCUCAGACACGAAAGCUAGGGGAGCGAACAGGAUUAGAUACCCUGGUAGUCCUAGCCGUAAACGAUGGGCACUAGGUGUUGGGGGAGUCUACCCCCUCAGUGCCGCAGCUAAUGCAUUAAGUGCCCCCACCUGGGGAGUACGAUCGCAAGGUUGAAACUCAAAGGAAUUGACGGGGGCCCGCACAAGCGGUGGAGCAUGUGGUUUAAUUCGAUGCAACGCGAAGAACCUUACCUGGGCUUGACAUGCAGGGGACAGGUGCGGAAACGUACCCUUCUUCGGACCCCUGUGCAGGUGCUGCAUGGCUGUCGUCAGCUCGUGUCGUGAAAUGUUGGGUUAAGUCCCGCAACGAGCGCAACCCCUGUCUUCAGUUGCCAUCAGUUCGGCUGGGGACUCUGGAGAGACUGCCGGUGACAAACCGGAGGAAGGUGGGGACGACGUCAAGUCAUCAUGGCCCUUACGCCCAGGGCUACACACG